rnacentral:rRNA from 1 species
AUGAUGUGCGGUUUCAGUACUACUAGCUGUGAGGAGGAGGAGGUUAGCCUUGAUGGCCAGGUGGUACCUCGGAAGGACACCUUUCGGUAUUUGGGGUCAAUGUUGCAGGACGAUGGGGGUAUUGAUGAAGAUGUGAACCAUCGAAUCAAAGCCAUAUGGAUGAAGUGGCGCCAAGCUUCUGGCAUUCUCUGUGACAAGAGAGUGCCACAAAAGCUAAAAGGCAAGUUCUACAGGACGGCGGUUCAACCCGCAAUGUUGUAUGGCGCGGAGUGUUGGCCGACUAAAAGGCGACAUGUUCAACAGUUAGGUGUGGCGGAGAUGCGUAUGUUGAGAUGGAUGUGUGGCCACACGAGAAAGGAUCGAGUCCGGAAUGAUGACAUAAGGGUCGACCGAUUUUGA